rnacentral:rRNA from 1 species
AGAGUUUGAUCCUGGCUCAGAUUGAACGCUGGCGGCAGGCCUAACACAUGCAAGUCGAACGGUAACAGGAAGCAGCUUGCUGCUUCGCUGACGAGUGGCGGACGGGUGAGUAAUGUCUGGGAAACUGCCUGAUGGAGGGGGAUAACUACUGGAAACGGUAGCUAAUACCGCAUAACGUCGCAAGACCAAAGAGGGGGACCUUCGGGCCUCUUGCCAUCGGAUGUGCCCAGAUGGGAUUAGCUAGUAGGUGGGGUAACGGCUCACCUAGGCGACGAUCCCUAGCUGGUCUGAGAGGAUGACCAGCCACACUGGAACUGAGACACGGUCCAGACUCCUACGGGAGGCAGCAGUGGGGAAUAUUGCACAAUGGGCGCAAGCCUGAUGCAGCCAUGCCGCGUGUAUGAAGAAGGCCUUCGGGUUGUAAAGUACUUUCAGCGGGGAGGAAGGGAGUAAAGUUAAUACCUUUGCUCAUUGACGUUACCCGCAGAAGAAGCACCGGCUAACUCCGUGCCAGCAGCCGCGGUAAUACGGAGGGUGCAAGCGUUAAUCGGAAUUACUGGGCGUAAAGCGCACGCAGGCGGUUUGUUAAGUCAGAUGUGAAAUCCCUGGGCUUAACCCAUGAACUGCUUUUGAAACUGUUAGUCUUGAGUGAAGUAGAGGUAGGCGGAAUUCCCGGUGUAGCGGUGAAAUGCGUAGAGAUCGGGAGGAACACCAGUGGCGAAGGCGGCCUACUGGGCUUUAACUGACGCUGAGGCACGAAAGUGUGGGUAGCAAACAGGAUUAGAUACCCUGGUAGUCCACGCUGUAAACGAUGAUUACUAGGUGUGGGGGGUCUAACCCCCUCCGUGCCGGAGUUAACACAAUAAGUAAUCCACCUGGGGAGUACGACCGCAAGGUUGAAACUCAAAGGAAUUGACGGGGGCCCGCACAAGCAGUGGAGUAUGUGGUUUAAUUCGACGCAACGCGAAGAACCUUACCAGGUCUUGACAUCCAACUAACGAAGCAGAGAUGCAUUAGGUGCCCUUCGGGGAAAGUUGAGACAGGUGGUGCAUGGUUGUCGUCAGCUCGUGUCGUGAGAUGUUGGGUUAAGUCCCGCAACGAGCGCAACCCUUGUGAUUAGUUGCUACGCAAGAGCACUCUAAUCAGACUGCCGUUGACAAAACGGAGGAAGGUGGGGACGACGUCAAAUCAUCAUGCCCUUUAUGACCUGGGCUACACACGUACUACAAUGGUCGUUAACAGAGGGAAGCAAUACCGCGAGGUGGAGCAAAACCCUAAAAACGGUCUCAGUUCAGAUUGUAGGCUGCAACUCGCCUACAUGAAGUUGGAAUUGCUAGUAAUCGCGGAUCAGCAUGCCGCGGUGAAUACGUUCCCGGGCCUUGCACACACCGCCCG